GGGCCCGCACAAGCGGUGGAGCAUGUGGUUCAAUUCGACGCAACGCGAAGAACCUUACCCAGGCUUGAACAGCGAGUGACCACUCCCGAAAGGGAGCUUCCGCAAGGACACUCGUAGAGGUGCUGCAUGGCUGUCGUCAGCUCGUGUCGUGAGAUGUUGGGUUAAGUCCCGCAACGAGCGCAACCCUUGUCUUCUGUUGCCAUCAGGUUAAGCUGGGCACUCUGAAGAGACUGCCGGUGAUAAACCGGAGGAAGGUGGGGAUGACGUCAAGUCAGCAUGGCCUUUAUGUCUGGGGCUACACACGUGCUACAAUGGCCGGUACAAACCGUCGCGAUACCGCAAGGUGGAGCUAAUCGGAGAAAGCCGGUCUCAGUUCGGAUAGCAGGCUGCAACUCGCCUGCUUGAAGUUGGAAUCGCUAGUAAUCGCGGAUCAGCACGCCGCGGUGAAUACGUUCCCGGGCCUU
rnacentral:rRNA from 1 species